UACGAAGGGGGCGAGCGUUGUUCGGAAUUACUGGGCGUAAAGGGCGCGCAGGCGGCUCUGGAAGUCAGAUGUGAAAGCCCCGGGCUCAACCUGGGAAUUGCAUUUGGGACUCCAGGGCUAGAGUUCGGGAGAGGUGGGUGGAAUUCCCAGUGUAGAGGUGAAAUUCGUAGAUAUUGGGAAGAACACCGGUGGCGAAGGCGGCUCACUGGACCGAGACUGACGCUGAGGCGCGGAAAGCGUGGGGAGCAAACAGGG
rnacentral:rRNA from 1 species